GUGAUGGUGCAGAUAAAUUAAACCAGUGUCGCUAAUUUUAAUACCGGUUACUCCAAAAAAUUUCUCAAAUACACACCGAUUUGAUUUUCAAGGAGAAAUUUACAUAGGUUUGUACAGGCUAUUUAAUAUUUAAUAUUUAUAAUAUGUAUGAUGCAAAAUAUACAAAACUUAACACCGAUGUAAUUUUGUCUUGAAACCGAAAAAAUUUCAAAACAUUUUCAUAUAUAAAUAUAGGUAGGUAAUAAUCACAAUAUUGCAAUUAUAGUAGGUAGGUCUUGUAUGUACUAUAUUAGGUACGUACCUAACCUACCUAUAUUAUUUAACAAAAUACAUAAUAAAUCUAGGAUGAAAAGUACAAAAAAGAAGACCGUAUUAUUUUUAACCAUAUACCUACAUUUUUUACAUUUUUCCUUAGUUUUUUCAGUUUUUUACAUUUGAUGAGAAAAUCAAAAAAUGACCUCCUUAAAGUACCAACCUCUCCUUUCAGAUUUCCUUUCAGAAAAAGUGCUACACUCAUAAAUCGGAGCAAGAUCACUGGUAAAAAAGUUGUACACAAAAAAAAAAAAAAUAAACAUAUUUUUAAAACCAUAAGCUUUUUCGCUCCACUCGAAUCUAAAAGUCCGUACUUAUUUUUUUAUUGCCGGACAAAAAUCGAGCACAUUUUUACAUUGUACAAAAAUACAAAUAAUAAUUUAAAACAAGUUACUUAUGUUUUGAAAAAUAGUCAAUAUACUUACCUAGAUACCCAAUUAUAGUAAAUUUCUGUUGUAUUUUUGUUGGAUAUAAAUAUCUAGGUAAUUGAAAAAUAAUCGGUUUAUUUAUCUACAUCGUCAGUAAAAGGAAUAAAAAGAAGAUAAUUUUUAUUUUAAUAAUUUUUUUCAGAAUUUUUGUCUGACAAUAAAAAUGUGCUCAGGCUUUUUUCAAAACGGACCUUUAAUUCCUGGAUUUUUUGGCCAAUUUUUUCAAACAUUGAUUACUCGAAAGAAAAAUUAUAGAUAACUCUGUGAUAAAUCUGUUUUCUUAAUUUAAGCGAAUAAUUUUUAUAAUCAUUUAUACAUCCCAUAAUUUAACUUAAUUGCGUUUAUUGUGUUUAUUAUCAAAUUUUUCAUUUGAUAAUAAAAAUGAAAUUAAUAUUUAUUUAUUAAUAAAAUAAAAUAAUUCAUUAAUAAUUAAUAAUUUGACUACAAUACGGAUACACAUUUUAAAAACUCUUCAAGUCAAAUUAUUUUCCUAAAACCUUAAUAGGCAAGUCGAAAAAAUUGUAUUUCUCUUGAAUUUCGACUUAUCGAGGUUCCACUGUAAUGUUAUUGUUAUAUAAAUAUAUCGGUAAUGUUAAUUAAAUAUUAUGUGUGACUAUUAUAUUUUUGUUUUACAUAAUAAAAACAAUUUUCAUUAAUUCUGACUAUGAUCUUUUCCUCAAUAUUACUUAUAUAGUUUGUAUUUAAACAAUUCAACUAGUAUACUAUUUUUUUAUUAUCCAAUAAAUAAUAUCUCUUGAAAUAUUGACUAUAACAGGUUGUUCAAAAUAAAGCUGUAAAUAAUAAAAUUAAUAUUCAGCUGAUUUAAAUUUUAAAUUUACCGCCAAAAUAAGACCAAAGGCGGUUAUCUAUAGACUAUGGUUAGUACUAUGGUACACUGUCAAAAACCGGAGGCACUGUUUUCAAUAUCCUUAACUUUAACUACAGAUAAUUAUAAAUAAUUAUGUUAUCUUUGGUGGUUUCAGACAAUAGAUAUUCCACGUUUUCAAACGUGACACAUCGAUACGGUAGCUCGGGUUACAAUAACCGGUUUAGUUUGAUAAUCCGUGACUAAUGUGUUGGGUAUGUGGCGUGAGUUGCGGUCACGGCUAUAGAAAUCAAAAAUCUUCAGCCGUGGUCCCGGUACUAACAAGCCAGUUUUCGUGGUGACGACUAUAAGUUAUACAGGUUGGAAACCUAAUUGGUUGGCGGAGUGCGUGGUUUGGACCGAAUAUGCAACGUCUUGCGGUACAACGACGUCUGUUGCGCCAUCUAUUUUUACCCACCUCUACCAUAAGUUGCAUGUGAAAAAAUCAUAAACCAGUCUAUUUAUAUAAAUUAGUUUAUAGGUCUAUGGCAAAUAUCUUGUACCCUUGCGUAAUUUGUAUAAUUUUUAGAUCUAGUCCUAUUAAGUUAUCUUUUCAAAAAGGUGUUAGUUCAAAAUACACUAUCUAUUCUGUAUUAUUAUCGUUAUUAUGUUAUUGAUAUUACACCACUGAUAUUAUUACUAUGAAGUACCUAUCUAUAUCCGUGCGUAACCCAUAAUAAAACGCUACAAGUAGC